UCCACUAGCUUCUGCCAUCACCAACCUAUUGUCUUCCUGCUGAUCUCCCUCCAGUGCAUCAGCCCUUACAGCUAUGUGAGUCAAGAGAAGCCUCCAGUUUGACACCUGACCUAUGGACUUGGAACAUUCCCCACUGAAAACUUGCCACUUCUACAACUAUUGAAGAAUUUGGUGGACUUCCUCGAUUACUUCAUCACUAGAGACUUUGCUUCCAAAGGGAGGACUAUUCCCACCAGUAAAUACAACAUUGAUUCCAUUGAACUGAAAGUUAAAGAGAAGUUAAAGAAUCUGGCCACUAGGACACCUUGUGCCACCAGAUCAACAGGCAAAGAAGAGAGUAAUCAUGGAGAUCAGUGUGCGUGAUCCUGAUUACCAAGGGGAAAUUGAAUGGAUAUCCCCUGGCAUAUUGGGCUAUCCUGGACUGCUAACUGGAAGGUCAUCUAUUCAAGCUCACUAGCUACUCUAAGGGGAAACCAAGUUUAGGUCACCCUAUAUUGUGGGUUUACUUGUGUCUACCCCAAAGUGGUUAUAAUCACACAUAGGAAUCGCUUGUCUUUGCUAUGUCAAGAUUAAUGUAAUGGAAGGUUUUAGCAACACUACAUGACUUAAACACCCUCUAGGCAAACGACCAUGACUAACUGUAGUGGUUGUUGAGGGCAAAGGGAAUAUGAACUUGGUGGUAGAAAACAGGAGUUCUAAAUACCAGUUAGGAUCCUGCUGCAGAAACUAGAAUUGUAAUUGUUAUUAAUAUUUAUUAUUUUGUUACAUUUGUAUAUGUGUGGGUACCCAUGUGCACACACACAUACAUAAAUAUUUUUUCUAGUGAAGGAUGGGGGAUGGGGAAAGGAGCUCUGGAACUAAUUUUGGUUACACAACUCAUUUUAAAAGCAAUUUAACCAUAGAUGUAUGUGAUACGUGAGUACUAUAUCAAGAAAACCAUAUUAAAAAAAAAAAAGGAAGAAAACUUGACCAAGGGCAAUCAUAGGUGAAGGGAAAAGGGUUGUCAUGUAGCGGCUAUUGAGUUUAUGUCCAUGGUGGUAGAAUAAUUUGGAAAAGGUUAUCAAUAGUGUGUUGAUAGUGGCUGUACAGCAUGAAAAGUAUAAUCAGUGACACGGAAUUUUAUAAGUAGAAGUUGUGGAAUUAGAAAAAAGAUUACCUAGGGGCAUGUUAGGGGAGGUUGGAGGUGGGCUGAGAAAAUGGAACUCUGAAAAUGGGUAAGAGGAAAAAAUGCUCUGAAAUUGAUUGUGUUGAUGAUUGCCCCGC